UACGUAGGGUGCGAGCGUUGUCCGGAAUUAUUGGGCGUAAAGGGCUCGUAGGCGGUUUGUCGCGUCGGGAGUGAAAACCUCGGGCUUAACUCGGGGCUUGCUUUCGAUACGGGCAGACUAGAGUUCGGCAGGGGAGACUGGAAUUCCUGGUGUAGCGGUGAAAUGCGCAGAUAUCAGGAGGAACACCGGUGGCGAAGGCGGGUCUCUGGGCCGAUACUGACGCUGAGGAGCGAAAGCGUGGGGAGCGAACAGG
rnacentral:rRNA from 1 species